AACGAACGCUGGCGGCAUGCCUAACACAUGCAAGUCGAACGGGAUCCUGGCUUCGGCCAGGUGAGAGUGGCGGACGGGUGAGUAACGCGUGGGAACCUGCCCAUUGGUCUGGGAUAACUGCGGGAAACUGCAGCUAAUACCGGAUGUACCCGAGAGGGGAAAGAUUUAUCGCCGAUGGAGGGGCCCGCGUCAGAUUAGGUAGUUGGUGAGGUAACGGCUCACCAAGCCUACGAUCUGUAGCUGGUCUGAGAGGAUGAUCAGCCACACUGGGACUGAGAUACGGCCCAGACUCCUACGGGAGGCAGCAGUGGGGAAUAUUGGACAAUGGGGGCAACCCUGAUCCAGCAAUGCCGCGUGAGUGAUGAAGGCCUUAGGGUUGUAAAGCUCUUUUACCAGGGACGAUGAUGACGGUACCUGGAGAAUAAGCCCCGGCUAACUUCGUGCCAGCAGCCGCG
rnacentral:rRNA from 1 species